UGAGACGUUCAAAUCACUCGAGCAGCAGGAGCUGGGGGAGCACGGAGGGUGCUAAAGGAAAAAUGGGGUGGAGGGGGAGAGAAGGGGAGCCAGAAACCCAGAUAGACACACGCAGAUUAAGGUGGUCAGAGAAGGUGUUUACAGGAAGAAGUCGACCCGAAUUCCAGGCAGUUGAAUUAGUCCUAGGAGGAAAGGGUGGGGUUUGGCUUCCAAGUAGGGUAACCAGUUUGCCCAGGACUCUUGCUUUGGGCACCAAAGGUUCUGUAUUCUGGGAAACGUCUCAGGCCAAGGCAGUGGGACAGCUCAGCUUUCUGCUCCCAAGGCCUGGCGCUGGGCAGGGGUGGGGAGGAAUGGAGUGGACCCAGGAAGUAAUAGCCACCACCUUUGAGACCCUCCUGUUUCUCCAACAGCCUUCUGUCCAGUCUCCACCUUCACCGCGCCCAUCAGUUUUUCCUGUUUGAAGAUUCUGGUUGCAACCCAACUAAAUCAAUUUCACAACCCAGGGCACCCACAUUUCGUGGUUAGUUGACUUUCCUCCAUCCUCAAAGCCAGCAGCAUUUCACGGAGGAACCUCUCUCCGACUGGG